rnacentral:rRNA from 1 species
GGGUUGUGAGGUUAAGCGACUAAGCGUACACGGUGGAUGCCCUGGCAGUCAGAGGCGAUGAAGGGCGUGCUAAUCUGCGAUAAGCGCCGGUAAGGUGAUAUGAACCGUUAUAACCGGCGAUACCCGAAUGGGGAAACCCAGUGUGAUUCGUCACACUAUCAUUAACUGAAUCCAUAGGUUAAUGAGGCGAACCGGGGGAACUGAAACAUCUAAGUACCCCGAGGAAAAGAAAUCAACCGAGAUUCCCCCAGUAGCGGCGAGCGAACGGGGAGGAGCCCAGAGCCUGAAUCAGCAUGUGUGUUAGUGGAAGCGUCUGGAAAGGCGCGCGAUACAGGGUGACAGCCCCGUACACAAAAGCGCAUGUGCUGUGAGCUCGAUGAGUAGGGCGGGACACGUGGUAUCCUGUCUGAAUAUGGGGGGACCAUCCUCCAAGGCUAAAUACUCCUGACUGACCGAUAGUGAACCAGUACCGUGAGGGAAAGGCGAAAAGAACCCCGGCGAGGGGAGUGAAAAAGAACCUGAAACCGUGUACGUACAAGCAGUGGGAGCNNNNNNNNNNNNNNNNNNNNNNNNNNNNNNNNNNNNNNNNNNNNNNNNNNGGGCGUUAAGUUGCAGGGUAUAGACCCGAAACCCGGUGAUCUAGCCAUGGGCAGGUUGAAGGUUGGGUAACACUAACUGGAGGACCGAACCGACUAAUGUUGAAAAAUUAGCGGAUGACCUGUGGCUGGGGGUGAAAGGCCAAUCAAACCGGGAGAUAGCUGGUUCUCCCCGAAAGCUAUUUAGGUAGCGCCUCGUGAAUUCAUCUCCGGGGGUAGAGCACUGUUUCGGCUAGGGGGCCAUCCCGGCUUACCAACCCGAUGCAAACUGCGAAUACCGGAGAAUGUUAUCACGGGAGACACACGGCGGGUGCUAACGUCCGUCGUGAAGAGGGAAACAACCCAGACCGCCAGCUAAGGUCCCAAAGUCAUGGUUAAGUGGGAAACGAUGUGGGAAGGCCCAGACAGCCAGGAUGUUGGCUUAGAAGCAGCCAUCAUUUAAAGAAAGCGUAAUAGCUCACUGGUCGAGUCGGCCUGCGCGGAAGAUGUAACGGGGCUAAACCAUGCACCGAAGCUGCGGCAGCGACACUGUGUGUUGUUGGGUAGGGGAGCGUUCUGUAAGCCUGUGAAGGUGUGUCGUGAGGCAUGCUGGAGGUAUCAGAAGUGCGAAUGCUGACAUAAGUAACGAUAAAGCGGGUGAAAAGCCCGCUCGCCGGAAGACCAAGGGUUCCUGUCCAACGUUAAUCGGGGCAGGGUGAGUCGACCCCUAAGGCGAGGCCGAAAGGCGUAGUCGAUGGGAAACGGGUUAAUAUUCCCGUACUUGGUGUUACUGCGAAGGGGGGACGGAGAAGGCUAUGUUGGCCGGGCGACGGUUGUCCCGGUUUAAGCGUGUAGGUGUGUGUUCCAGGUAAAUCCGGUUCACUUUAACACUGAGGCGUGACGACGAGGCACUACGGUGCUGAAGCAACAAAUGCCCUGCUUCCAGGAAAAGCCUCUAAGCAUCAGGUAACAUCAAAUCGUACCCCAAACCGACACAGGUGGUCAGGUAGAGAAUACCAAGGCGCUUGAGAGAACUCGGGUGAAGGAACUAGGCAAAAUGGUGCCGUAACUUCGGGAGAAGGCACGCUGACACGUAGGUGAAGUGAUUUACUCAUGGAGCUGAAGUCAGUCGAAGAUACCAGCUGGCUGCAACUGUUUAUUAAAAACACAGCACUGUGCAAACACGAAAGUGGACGUAUACGGUGUGACGCCUGCCCGGUGCCGGAAGGUUAAUUGAUGGGGUCAGCGCAAGCGAAGCUCCUGAUCGAAGCCCCGGUAAACGGCGGCCGUAACUAUAACGGUCCUAAGGUAGCGAAAUUCCUUGUCGGGUAAGUUCCGACCUGCACGAAUGGCGUAAUGAUGGCCAGGCUGUCUCCACCCGAGACUCAGUGAAAUUGAACUCGCUGUGAAGAUGCAGUGUACCCGCGGCAAGACGGAAAGACCCCGUGAACCUUUACUAUAGCUUGACACUGAACAUUGAGCCUUGAUGUGUAGGAUAGGUGGGAGGCUUUGAAGUGUGGACGCCAGUCUGCAUGGAGCCGACCUUGAAAUACCACCCUUUAAUGUUUGAUGUUCUAACGUGGACCCGUUACCCGGGUUGCGGACAGUGUCUGGUGGGUAGUUUGACUGGGGCGGUCUCCUCCUAAAGAGUAACGGAGGAGCACGAAGGUUGGCUAAUCCUGGUCGGACAUCAGGAGGUUAGUGCAAUGGCAUAAGCCAGCUUGACUGCGAGCGUGACGGCGCGAGCAGGUGCGAAAGCAGGUCAUAGUGAUCCGGUGGUUCUGAAUGGAAGGGCCAUCGCUCAACGGAUAAAAGGUACUCCGGGGAUAACAGGCUGAUACCGCCCAAGAGUUCAUAUCGACGGCGGUGUUUGGCACCUCGAUGUCGGCUCAUCACAUCCUGGGGCUGAAGUAGGUCCCAAGGGUAUGGCUGUUCGCCAUUUAAAGUGGUACGCGAGCUGGGUUUAGAACGUCGUGAGACAGUUCGGUCCCUAUCUGCCGUGGGCGCUGGAGAACUGAGGGGGGCUGCUCCUAGUACGAGAGGACCGGAGUGGACGCAUCACUGGUGUUCGGGUUGUCAUGCCAAUGGCACUGCCCGGUAGCUAAAUGCGGAAGAGAUAAGUGCUGAAAGCAUCUAAGCACGAAACUUGCCCCGAGAUGAGUUCUCCCUGAGACUUAGAGUCUCCUGAAGGAACGUUGAAGACGACGACGUUGAUAGGCCGGGUGUGUAAGCGCAGCGAUGCGUUGAGCUAACCGGUACUAAUGAACCGUGAGGCUUAACCUUACAACGCCGAAG